rnacentral:rRNA from 1 species
UUUAUUGGAGAGUUUGAUCCUGGCUCAGGAUGAACGCUGGCGGCGUGCCUAAUACAUGCAAGUCGAGCGAACGGAUUAAGAGCUUGCUCUUAUGAAGUUAGCGGCGGACGGGUGAGUAACACGUGGGUAACCUGCCCAUAAGACUGGGAUAACUCCGGGAAACCGGGGCUAAUACCGGAUAACAUUUUGAACCGCAUGGUUCGAAAUUGAAAGGCGGCUUCGGCUGUCAUUUAUGGAUGGACCCGCGUCGCAUUAGCUAGUUGGUGAGGUAACGGCUCACCAAGGCAACGAUGCGUAGCCGACCUGAGAGGGUGAUCGGCCACACUGGGACUGAGACACGGCCCAGACUCCUACGGGAGGCAGCAGUAGGGAAUCUUCCGCAAUGGACGAAAGUCUGACGGAGCAACGCCGCGUGAGUGAUGAAGGCUUUCGGGUCGUAAAACUCUGUUGUUAGGGAAGAACAAGUGCUAGUUGAAUAAGCUGGCACCUUGACGGUACCUAACCAGAAAGCCACGGCUAACUACGUGCCAGCAGCCGCGGUAAUACGUAGGUGGCAAGCGUUAUCCGGAAUUAUUGGGCGUAAAGCGCGCGCAGGUGGUUUCUUAAGUCUGAUGUGAAAGCCCACGGCUCAACCGUGGAGGGUCAUUGGAAACUGGGAGACUUGAGU